GACGAACGCUGGCGGCGUGCUUAACACAUGCAAGUCGAGCGGUAAGGCCCUUUCGGGGGUACGACGAGCGGCGAACGGGUGAGUAACACGUGGGUGACCUGCCCUCAGCUCUGGGAUAAGCCUGGGAAACCGGGUCUAAUACCGGAUAUGACUCCAUGACGCAUGUUGUGGGGUGGAAAGCCUUGUGCGGCUGAGGAUGGGCCCGCGGCCUAUCAGCUUGUUGGUGGGGUGAUGGCCUACCAAGGCGACGACGGGUAGCCGCCUGAGAGGGCGACCGGCCACACUGGGACUGAGACACGGCCCAGACUCCUACGGGAGGCAGCAGUGGGGAAUCUUGCGCAAUGGGCGAAAGCCUGACGCAGCGACGCCGCGUGAGGGAUGACGGCCUGUGU
rnacentral:rRNA from 1 species